AUGAAACCGACAUUAUAAGAGCGUUUGCUCAUCUACCUCGUGGACGGACGCGCUGCGCAGAGUUGUACCGAGAGAAGAGCCUUAUUCGUCCUCUGGGUCGUGUGGAGUCCAUUGGAAGCGGCUUAAAUUUGGGUUUCGGAGCGUUUAUUUGCAUUCGACGGGGGAAAAAAUCUCGGAUUGUUUCCCUCCAAAACAACUUCUCUUCGGCUGAAGCAAGAAAGUCAUAUACCUCUCGGAUGGCAUUUGGACAUCUCUGCCUGGAUGGAGCAUCAUGAAGUCGGAGCUGCUUGUAAUCCCUGGAGACCUGUCAGUUGACCAGACAUUACUGUGUAACAGGGGUCCACAACACUAACAGCAACCAGGACAGCAAGGAGCCUGGGGAUUGGGGUUUGACCAACUGAGCUUUACCAUCCACAGUUAAACUACGGUCUAGUCAUGUAGGUUUGUGCUUGACAAACAGAAGGAGGGUCAGAGCAUUGGCAGUGAAUUUUAGGUUGUGAUGUUGGCUUUUAGGGAUGCCACUGAAAUGUAGUUAUAUGUAUGAACACACUUUUAUAUUUCAGACACUGUUAAUUUUAGAAGUCAGUUAGUUCUCAACACAUGGAGACUCUUUUAUCUUGAUAUCAUACUAUAGAGAUUGUCUGUUCCCCGAACUAAUACAAAAAAAUGA